rnacentral:rRNA from 1 species
AAUAUGGAGAGUUUGAUCCUGGCUCAGAGUGAACGCUGGCGGCGUGCCUAAUACAUGCAAGUCGAACGAUGAAGCCUUUAGCUUGCUAGAGGUGGAUUAGUGGCGCACGGGUGAGUAAGGUAUAGUUAAUCUGCCCCGCACUGGGGGACAACACUUAGAAAUGAGUGCUAAUACCCCAUACUCCCGCCUCACACAGGUGAGGUGGGGAAAGUUAAUGAUUCAAACUGACUUGGAUUUUUUCAUCUUAAUUGAGUAUGAAGGCCUGAAUUUGAUUGAAAAACUUUGUUAAAUUUAAACCAAGAAUAAAAACUUUUUAAAUUUGAGCCAAGAGCAAAGUUUUUAAAAAGCUUUAACUUUAAAUUCUAAAGCUUGAUUUGUUAUUUCAUAUUCACUUAAGAUGAAAUUCAAGCGGUGAAGAUUUUUCGGUGCGGGAUGAGACUAUAUAGUAUCAGCUAGUUGGUGGGGUAAAAGCCUACCAAGGCUAUGACGCUUAAGAGGUCUGAGAGGAUGAGCUCUCACACUGGAACUGAGACACGGUCCAGACUCCUACGGGAGGCAGCAGUAGGGAAUAUUGCGCAAUGGGCGAAAGCCUGACGCAGCAACGCCGCGUGGAGGAUGACACUUUUCGGAGCGUAAACUCCUUUUCUUUGGGAAGAAUUUUGACGGUACCAAAGGAAUAAGCACCGGCUAACUCCGUGCCAGCAGCCGCGGUAAUA